UACGGGGGGGGCAAGCGUUGUUCGGAAUCACUGGGCGUAAAGGGCGCGUAGGCGGCUAUUCAAGUCGGGGGUGAAAGCCUGUGGCUCAACCACAGAAUUGCCUUCGAUACUGUUUGGCUUGAGACCGGAAGAGGUAAGUGGAACUGCGAGUGUAGAGGUGAAAUUCGUAGAUAUUCGCAAGAACACCAGUGGCGAAGGCGGCUUACUGGUCCGGUUCUGACGCUGAGGCGCGAAAGCGUGGGGAGCGAACAGG
rnacentral:rRNA from 1 species